AACGAACGCUGGCGGCAGGCCUAACACAUGCAAGUCGAGCGGAGAUGAGGUGCUUGCACCUUAUCUUAGCGGCGGACGGGUGAGUAAUGCUUAGGAAUCUGCCUAUUAGUGGGGGACAACAUUCCGAAAGGAAUGCUAAUACCGCAUACGUCCUACGGGAGAAAGCAGGGGAUCUUCGGACCUUGCGCUAAUAGAUGAGCCUAAGUCGGAUUAGCUAGUUGGGGGGGUAAAGGCCUACCAAGGCGACGAUCUGUAGCGGGUCUGAGAGGAUGAUCCGCCACACUGGGACUGAGACACGGCCCAGACUCCUACGGGGGGCAGCAGUGGGGAAUAUUGGACGAGGGGGGGAACCCUGAUCCAGCCAUGCCGCGUGUGUGAAGAAGGCCUUAUGGUUGUAAAGCACUUUAAGCGAGGAGGAGGCUACUGAGACUAAUACUCUUGGAUAGUGGACGUUACUCGCAGAAUAAGCACCGGCUAACUCUGUGCCAGCCGCCGCGGUAACAC
rnacentral:rRNA from 1 species